UAUGAAGGGGGGCUAGCGUUGCUCGGAAUCACUGGGCGUAAAGCGCACGUAGGCGGCUUUUUAAGUCAGGGGUGAAAUCCUGGAGCUCAACUCCAGAACUGCCUUUGAUACUGAGAGCUUGAGUCCGGGAGAGGUGAGUGGAACUGCGAGUGUAGAGGUGAAAUUCGUAGAUAUUCGCAAGAACACCAGUGGCGAAGGCGGCUCACUGGCCCGGUACUGACGCUGAGACGCGAAAGCGUGGGGAGCAAACAGG
rnacentral:rRNA from 1 species